AUGAAGGUUAACAUUGACGGUGCUGUUGCUAGAUCCCAUCAUGGCGGAGCAGUCGCAGCCGUGUGUCGGGAUCAGACUGGCCUCUAUCUGGGGUCAUCAGCGGUGGUUUAUCGGGGAAUCAAUGACCCUCUCAUUCUGGAGACAUAUGCAUGCCGAGAAGCCUUGGCAUUAGCAGAUGACCUCGUGACCCGGGAGAUUUGUGUGGCUUCAGAUUGCCAGGAGGCGAUCAACGACAUCAACAGAGGGACAGGAGGUCCAAAUGCUUCUAUAGUACGUGAAAUAACGACCCGGUGUACCAGUUUUAUUUCUAGUUUUCAUAAUGAACGUAGGAACUUUAAUUUCGAGGCUCAUAAUCUCGCCAAGUUUGCUUGUAAUCUUGAAGUAGGUAGACAUCUUUGGUUGGGUAAUCCUCACGACCCAAACCUUGUACCUAUGAUGAUUCCGUUGGAUGAAUAA
rnacentral:rRNA from 1 species